rnacentral:rRNA from 1 species
AUCAGGAAUCUUGCGCAAUGGGCGAAAGCCUGACGCAGCGACGCCGCGUGGGUGAGGAAGUCUUUCGGGAUGUAAAGCCCUUUUUCAGGGGAAGAUGAUGACGGUACCCUGAGAAUAAGCCCCGGCUAACUACGUGCCAGCAGCCGCGGUAAUACGUAGGGGGCGAGCGUUGUCCGGAAUUACUGGGCGUAAAGGGCGCGUAGGCGGCCCGCUAAGUCCGUUGUGAAAGACCGAGGCUCAACCUCGGGGUGUCAACGGAGACUGGUGGGCUGGAGGGUCGGAGAGGAGCGGGGAAUCCCUGGUGUAGCGGUGGAAUGCGUAGAGAUCAGGGGGAACACCGAUGGCGAAGGCACCGCUCUGGCCGAAUCCUGACGCUGAGGCGCGAAAGCUGGGGGAGCGAACGG